rnacentral:misc_RNA from 1 species
AAGUCGUAACAAGGUCUCCGUAGGUGAACCUGCGGAGGGAUCAUUACAAGUGACCCCGGUCUAACCACCGGGAUGUUCAUAACCCUUUGUUGUCCGACUCUGUUGCCUCCGGGGCGACCCUGCCUUCGGGCGGGGGCUCCGGGUGGACACUUCAAACUCUUGCAGUAACUGUAGCAGUCAGUGAGUAACUUAAUUAAAUAAAAUUUA